rnacentral:rRNA from 1 species
GACGAACGCUGGCGGCGUGCUUAGCACAUGCAAGUCGAACGGAAAGGCCCUGCUUUUGUGGGGUGCUCGAGUGGCGAACGGGUGAGUAACACGUGAGUAACCUGCCCUUGACUUUGGGAUAACUUCAGGAAACUGGGGCUAAUACCGGAUAGGAGCUCCUGCUGCAUGGUGGGGGUUGGAAAGUUUCGGCGGUUGGGGAUGGACUCGCGGCUUAUCAGCUUGUUGGUGGGGUAGUGGCUUACCAAGGCUUUGACGGGUAGCCGGCCUGAGAGGGUGACCGGGCACCUUGGGACUGAGGUACGGCCCAGACUCCUACGGGGGGCAGCAGUGGGGAAUAUUGCACAAUGGGCGGAAGCCUGAUGCAGCAGCGCCGCGUGCGGGAUGACGGCCUUCGGGUUGUAAACCGCUUUCGCCUGUGACGAAGCGUGAGUGACGGUAAUGGGUGAAGAAGCACCGGCUAACUACGUG